UCCUCUUGUUGCCCAGGCUGGAAUGCCAUGGUGCAGCCUCAGUUCACUGCAACCUUCAUCUCCUGGGUUCAAGCACUUCUCCUGUGUCAGCUUCCCAAAUAGCUGGGAUUGAUUGCAGGCAUGUGCCACCAUGCCUGGCUAAUUUUUAUAUUUUCAGUAGAGAUGGGGUUUCACCAUGUUGUUCAGGCUGGUCUCGAACUCCUGACCUCAUGUGAUCCUCCCACCUCAGCCUCCCAAGGUGCUGGGAUUAUAGGCGUGAGCCACUGAGCCUGGUUCCUUUCUUAAUAUAUUGCAGUACAGUAGCCCCACACGGCCACUUGUCCACAAGCUGGCUCUGUCCACAGUGGGACUGUGAUGUCAUACCUUUUGCCUAACUCAGAACGCUGAGCAGGGAAGGACACAACUGCAGAUUGGUUUGAAGCCAAUUCAAAUAAAUUGUCAAUUGUGGUUUCAUCAAAUGAUCAUAAUUUGAUGAAACCACAAAGCUUUGUUCUAACAUGUUCAAAUCUAUUGAUCAGCAGACAUUCAUUAUGACACGUUCCAACUCUUCGCGAUAUUGACCUAGAUGUCAUUGAUUGAGUCAGAACUGUCAUUUCAAAUUUAGGUCACCCAGCGGGAUACUACAUAAUUUCCUCCAGUCAAAUCAAUUCAGAAGGAAAUUUAAACUAAUUCUAUAAAAUUAAUAAAUUUAAAAAAUGGAAAAUGAUUUGUGAAAUAUGAGGAUCCAUCAGUCUGUAUAAUAAACAGACAUAAUGCAAAAUGUUUAUUCAACCAAAUAUGUAGUUUUGUGAUUAUAUAGUUUUUAUCAGUUAAAUAUGAGCUAAUAGUAUCUAACAAAUGAUUAAGAGUCCCCAGUAUUAUAAUUUUGGGGUACCGUAUUACAAUAAGCUAAAAUUAAUACAGAUUUUGAAAUUUUAGAACAUUUCCUUGUCAAUGAUCUCAAUGCUAGGACAAAAAUACUGAAAACCUGUGUCACAGGAUGCACCUGCAUGAGCUGGGAUUUCCUGUUGUGUUCACCCAUAUACACCAAGUCUCCUACUAGAAUACAGCACAUGAAGACCCUUGAUCAAUACAAAUUAAACUAAUGCUUUUUUACUUGCCUAAUUAAAGCACUGAAUAAAUCAUUAUUCUGGGCUAUAAUUAAUCUAUUAUUAUUAGCUCAUGCCUGUAAUCCCGGCACUUUGGGAGGCUGAGGUGGGCGGAUCACUUGAGGUUAGGAGUUUGAGAUCAGCUUGGCCAACAUGGUGAAGCCCUCUUUCUACUAAAAAUAACAAAAAUUAGCCAGGCUUGGUGGUGCAUGCUUGUAAUCCCAGCUACUCGGGAGACUGAGGCAGGAGAUUUGCUUGAACCUGUGAGGCAGAGGUUGCAGUGAGCUGAGGUUGUGCCAUUGCACUCCAGCCUGGGCAUUAAGAGCGAAACUCCAUCCGCCACCACACACAUACACACACACAUACUCACACACACACACACACACAAAAUCAUUCUGAAGAUGGAAGAAACCUAAUUUUCUUGCAGUUUUCAAUGAAUUCAUUAUAUAUUCCAAGAAAUAGGCUGAGGCCAUAAUGUAUAGGAUUAAAUGUCUUGUCUGAAAUUAUUUUUUAAAGGUUAUUGUCAUCAAAACUGUACAUCACUUUCUCCUUUAAAUAAGAUGAAGCUCAAAAGGUGUUAAUCAAUUAUGCAACCAUUACUGAUUAAUUAUGAAUCACUGAUUACUAAAUAAUCAAAAAUGUAUAAUUAAACAUUUAAGAAAUUUAGACUAGAUUGACCUACUUGUAAAUAUUCUCUAAUGGAAAACACCCAAAACCUGAGAAAGCUACUAUGCAUUCUAGAAUUACUGCCUUGUAUCUGAUGAAAUUCGAUGGCAACCCUAGACAUUCUCAAGCAAGAGUAAAAUGACUCCAAAAUGCAUUUUCUUAAAGUCUGUAUGUCGACAGUUUAUCCUGUUUUCAUCUUGAAUUACUGAGGAUUCUGGAAUCUCUUAAUAGUGUGUCAUUCUCUCUUGCAACGUGUAAAUUGAAGUUAUUACUGCUCUGGAGACCCUUUUAGAAACAUGGCAAAGAUGUUUGCCAGAGAUUUGAACUUUGAUGAACAUGCUUCUCUAGGGCUUCUGGGAAGAGUUAACACAUUUACUGGUGUUUGCUCAUUAUGCUUAGGAUAAAAAGCAAAUCAGACAGCUUCUGAUAUUUAUUUUUUCAUACGUUCUGUUGUACCUAGGAAGAAUACAGAAAAGGAGGCAGAAUGGUAGGCUGAGUUACAUAAAAUUAAACUUUUAAGAUGGGCUUGGUGGCAGUUUUAUGUUCUAUUAAUUUUUUUUCCAGAAUCUUAGCAAAUUUUAUUUCUUAUCACAGCCCCGGCUCUGUGGGGGGAGUGAUUUGUUUAUUUUUUAACAAAAAGAUCAUUACUAGCAUUUCAUGUUUGAUUUUUCUAAGCACAUUUUCUCCUUGAAUGUAUUCCUAAGCCCAAAACAUGCAGUAUUUCGUUUAGUGUAUGCGUUAGUCACUGAGGCUUUUGUCAGUGAUUUAGGGAGAGCUUAACAUAUUUUUAGAAAUAGUUUUUCUCAACUAUGUAAAUCAUGCAUAAAUAUCUACAUCUGCCAGAGAGAUCUUAAAAAUGGGUUUGUAUUUUGUUCCUUGUGGAUUCCAGUGUUGCUGUGAGUUUUAACAGAUAAAUAAGGUCAAGGCUAUUUUUGUGUAAUUGUUUAUUCUUACAAUUUUGUCAAGAAAUGCAUGAUUUAGUGUUGCUAUAAACUGAUAUAAGCAAUAUUACCUGCUUCUCAAGGGUGUAAUAAAACAUAGCGAUAACAUAUCAAUAACAAUAGAUUCCCUAUGAAACGUGGAGUAUUAGAAAUGUGUUUUCCUCCAUAAGAGCAUCUACAAAAAUGCACGAGAGCACAAACUCAAGGUCUUUUCCAGUUGCUUUGUGAAGAAAGGCAAUUUCUUUUAAUAGUAUUUUUUACAUGUUUCUUUCAUAUUUUAUUUGCUUAAUGGACUAAAUUAUAGAGAAUAAAUUAAGAAUCUUUGUUUAAAUGAUCUAUGGAAAUAUUGUAUGUAGGUUUUUUUAAAAAAAGCUUGCUUGGAUUGACUUUAAUAUAUAAUUGACAUAUUCAUGUGGUAUAUGUGAUAUUUUGUUGCAAACAUAGAAUGUAUAAUGAUCAAAUUGGGGUAUUUGGGAUAUCCGUCAACUUAAGUAUUAUUUCUAUGUGUCGGGAACAUUUCAAGUACUCUUUUUACCUACUUUGAAAUUUACAAAGUCACUACUCUGUGCUAUAGAUCAGUAGAAUUUAUACCUUCUAUCUAACUGAAUGUUUGUACCAAAAAGACUGGAAGCAUCUGUCUUUGAUGGGAAGCAGCCACUAUCCCAAACUGGAAGAAAAACCCCCACCUCCCCGACAAACUUAGAACUAUUUAUCUGUGAAAUACAGACUUCGACUGGUUGUGUCUCACUUAGAGACGUAGGCAAGACAGUGAACAGACAGCUGUGUUUAUCUCGGUGCACACGAAGCAGCCAGUGAGCUUCACAGAAGGACAUAAUUGGUUGUGUUCUCAUUCCUGAGACUCCUGUCCAGCUGCGUAGGAAUUUUCGAUGAUGUCAAAGCCCAAGUUUUAUAAAUGACAGGACCUUGUCUUUUCUUGGACUUGACUCCUGCUGUAAUUGGAAGCUGUUACUUUCUGUCUUUCAUUUAUUAUUUUAAAAAACCAGCAUGUAUUUCUAUGACUUAUUCUAAUGCGCCUAUCAGAAAAUUCUAUACGGAGAAACAGUCAAUUCAUUAGGGAACAGUUCUAUGAUUUGAGGCAGCUGUGGCACUGAUUUCACUGUCUCAUAGAAGAAAAAAAAUCACAUCUUUUCCUAUGUCUAUGCAAAACUUGGUAUUUUAAACCAUAUUCCUAAAAUAAACUGAAUGUUUGAAAGAGACUAAAAGAUUUAAAGGAAGCAAAAAAAUGAAUCAGUAUUCAUUUUUUUAUUUCUGUGACUCAAUGAGCCAAUAGAAAUCAUUUCAACUUAAAAAGUCCAGUUAUGAGAGCCCCAUCAAAAUUUUGAAGUAAAUGUGUUAUAAGACAUUUUAAUUAUUGCCAAAGGAUGAGCCCCACAUGUGUUUAUUUUUCCAUGUCAAUAUUGGCAAAUACCUCUUAUUUCUAUGGCAGCAGUAUAUUGUUACCAAUCCCCUAAAUUUGAUAAAAUUGUAUUUUUUGAAGUUGUAUUCUUCUAGAACAAAAAUAAUCAAAUAUCAACAAUUUUGUAUGAUUCAACAUAAUACAUUACUUUAAAAAACUAAUUUUAAUGGUUAAAAAUACAGGGGGCCAAUACUCAAGGUAGUUUGAAAGAAGAAACUUCUCUCUCUGAGUCAGUAUUCCCAAUUAAUAUUAGGUUUGACAUUCCUAAUUUAAGCAGGUUAAAUUGAAAUUCAAUAAAAUUGAAUUGUCUUCAGUUCUCUUGUUGAACCUCGUGAUUCACCAUUUUCCAGGCAUGAGGAGAAAUUAAUGAAGCAGUGAUGGUUGAUGCCACUACAGCCUUAUUUUUCUCACUUGAUCUUUUAUGUGUUGCCAUAAAAAUGCUUUCCAUUUACAGAAUACCUUUCUCUAACAGGGUCGAAUUACUUUACUGAUUAAUCGUUUAAGUGUGAUGCCCUUUUCACUGGGUGGAAUAGUACAGAAAAUGAAACUCUUACAACAAAUAUCUCUUUACUUUCUUGUUUUUAAUAUCAUCACUAUUUUAUGCCAUUCUUUAAUCUCAUAUUUCAGGAGAGGUAGCAGUUAAUUUUAUCUGAUUCAGACACAAGGCUCUUACAAUUUUCUUAUAAAUCAUUUGAUCUCUUUGAACUAAUUUAUAAAGUUCUCGUCUUCGUUCUUUAUAUGAUUCAUUAUAUUAGUGAUAGGCGAGGCACUUCCUUCAGCUUUUUCAAUUAUUUCAGAGCAAAUAUAUUGUUACAUAUGAAUUAUGAAAAUUUCCAGGUGACUGAAUCUCAUUGACAUUGGAACAUUAUAAAGUUUCUGUUAAAUUUUCUAUGUAAUACAAAAUCAUAUUAUCUGCAUAUUUUCCUGGAACCCCUAUGGGAAAGAAGCAAUUAUACAGACACACAGCCACCACCCCCCACAUAUACACACAUACGUGCACACACACACACACACGUAUUUUACUAAGUGUUACAGAAAAUUGCCAAAUAAUAAUAUCAAACAUGACUCGGGUGGUACUAGGUGGCAAAGCAAGAAAAGGCCUUGUUAAAUUUCCCUGCAUAGUGAGUUUGAAGGUACAAUCACAUUAUGAAUGGCUAUGGAAUAAAUUAUCAAAAGUCAAAAACAAAAAUGCAAGCUGUUCAUUUACAGAAGAAAAAUAAGUUGGGGAACAUAUUAAAUUUGACUAUGAGAAAAGCAAUUUGAAUUUUAUUAGGUAGAUCAUUUCACAUAAAUGAAAAGUCUGCAUCCAUUUACUUUUAAUACAUGACAGGGAAUUGAUGUGAGUUAAUACUACUCAGUUCUUGAAGUUUACAUAAAAUAUUUUAAAAUUAUAUAAAAUGGUAGGCUUAAACCCUUAACUAAGGUUUUGUGUUUCUAAAGGCUAAGGAAAUAGUUACCAAAUGAGCUAACUUUAACUGGUAUUUUUAUAUAACAUUUAUAUUGAGCUAACCCUCAUUCCAAGCACUUGGUAUAUAUUCACUUGAUAUUCCCAACAAUACUGUAAUUACCCCGUUUGCAGGAGAAGAAACAGGUAAAGAAACUGAUUUAGGUUAAUAUACUUGGUAAGUGGCUGGACUUGGAUUUGAAUGGCCCUGUUUAGUAUGGCAACCGCUUGCCCCAUGUGGCUUUUGAGUUUUAGACAUGCAGGUGGUCCACAAUGAUAUGUACUAGAAGCAUAAAAUAUACACUGUAUUUCAAAUAUUUAGUGUAAAAAAACAUGAAUUAUCUCAAUUUUCACUCAUUACAUGUUGAAAUGACAAACGUUUUGGAUAUGCUAGGCUAAAUGUCAAACUCAGUUUUAGCCUUUUUAAAUGUGGCCCCUAGAGAAGUUAAAAUUACAUAUGUGGCUUGCAUAUUAUUUCUACUGGAGAGCACAGCUUUACAUUUUGGUCUAGCUGUAGGGACUAGAGCUCAUGGUCUAGGCUUUUAAACAUAAGGCCUCUUUACUGAAGAGUAGAACUUAGUUUGAGAUUCUUAUUCAUGUCUAGUGGCAAUCCCCUGGAAGUCUCUUGUUAGUUUAUACAUACAGUAUUCUUAGAUUGCAGGUAAUGUUUGGAAAUUUAACUUAUACUCCUUACUGCUUAAAAUGUUGAGUAUCAGAUGGGAGAUUUUAGAAGCAAUUGUUGCAUCCCAUGGUGAUACACCGGAAACUCUUGCUAUAGAUGUAUAAUAUUAUCAAUAUGUACAACACAUUUAAUGAUUUUCUUAUUGCCCUUCAUUAGAAGUAUUUUUCCCUAAUUCAUAAAACUCUAUCUUUUCUCCUAAAGAAUAAUAUCAGUGAAUUCAGAUGAUAUCAAGACGUGUAUUUAUCAUGAAUGUAUGUACCAGUUGUCCCUGAAUUAAUAGCUAUGGCUCCUUUUAUUGGUAAUAAGGUCCAUCUGUUUCAUUCAGUUUUAUUCCGCAGCCAGAGGCAGUAAAGCUGUACUCAUCUGUCUGACUGGAAAGUAAAACUCGGAAAGACAACUCAAUAAGAGCAAGAGCAAAACGUCCUCCGAUUUUAAACAAGAUUUUCUGGAUCUCUUACAUUCUUGAAGAAUUAUUUCUGUCUCUGAUCCCAAAUAAUCCAGCUCAGUUGUUUGUAAACAUAGAAAAAGAAUAUUGGACCCAGACUUGUUGGAGAGACAUGGAGAGAUAACUUUUAAAUCAUGAAAGCACUAUCACUCUAUUACAUGCCUGUUGGCCUGGGGAAUACGAAAAAUGAUACCAAGGUUCUAAAUAAGUUUAUGUUUUAAUGUUCUCCCAUUAGGCAAACUUUCUGAGUGGGCAUGUUCAAGCGACAGUAGAUUUUAAAACCAGUAUGUUCUAAAUGGUUGAAACCGAUUGUCCAAAGGCUGUUGGUAUGAUUGCUGGCUGUGUUCUAUUUAAUUUUUGGGUGAAACCAUUAGUAUCACACCCAUUAUGAUAAGUGUCUAGGAACAUAUUAAGUUGUAUCACUGAAAGCCUUUUUCUACCACAAGGGAUCCAAGAGGAUGUGCUUUAUUCACUAUGAUUAUUAUUUGAGAGUACAGAAACAAGCUUCAGGUAAGUUACAUGAGCUUAAUUCUUUACAUCCAUGUUUCCAUCUUUUUCCUUUGAAUUCACAGAAGUUAGCAAAAGGGUCUAUAAUCUAGAUAGUUCCCUACCAAUGUUUGUCGCAGGAAGGGGUGGGGGAAAGAUAGAUUUACACACUUCCUUAAAAGCAAAUAAGUAGCACCCUUUUUCAACCAGCAUCUGUAGUAAAUGCUCUGAUCAUCGUUCCUAAUGCAGCAACCCUAUACCGCUGCUGACAGACUGGUGCUGGCAAUGAAACCAAUCUGCCUGCCGCCCUCUGUGACUCCACACCGCCGGAAUCGUGGUGGUGGAUUCCUCAUUUGUGUAGUACCCAGGAAACUUAAUUGCAAGUAAGCAGGCUAAUAAGGACAUUGAGCCCACAGGAGUAUUAUUUACAAAAGUCAACCAGAUGUGCUGUCUAUGGGUGAGAGCAAUGGGAUACACAACUGAUUUGUAUUUUACUGUUUGGGAAGUUUUUCCAAGUGAACUCCUAUGAGGGUGGGCUUUAUUGAAUUUAGAAAAGCAGUAGAAAGAGAGCUUGUACUUCCCUCAUGGAGACCUUUGAGAAUAUACUCCUCCUCCUACUAGUAAUAUUAACAAUAACAUAGCUUGCUAUUAUUAUUAAUAUUAUGGCUGAGUUCUAUGGAUCCAUUAUUCUAUGUCAGAUAUAGAGCUGAUAGUUUACAUACUGUGAUAUGAUUCUUAACAGAAGACUACAGGUAGUAUUUUAAUUCAGUUUAACAUAUACGAAAACAUUUAUAGUGUAUCUACACAUGUAUGUACGUGUGCAUAUACAGUAUUAUGUAUAUUCAUAUGUAUUAGGAUUAUUACUGUCAUUACUAUUACUGUAAAAAUGCUGAGUAACAAUCCAUUCCAAAGCUCAGGCCCAUGGAACAAUAAACACGUACUGGUGUCCUGCUCUCUGGUUUGUCUGGGGUUUGGGUGAUUCAGGAUGGGCUGGGCUCAGCUUGGCUAUAAGACAAGGUUUCAGCUCAAGCGUGCACCAUGAAUCUGAUUUUUAUGAGAAUGUUUGGCUGCCUGGAGCACGUUUCCCUCCCGGCAGUGAGGGAAGCUCAGGAGAGUACUGCCCUGAAUAGGUUUCAAGUCAGUGCUGUCACCCUACCCUUGGAAAUUAGCCGAGGUCUGUCAUAGGGCCAUGUCCAAAGUCAGUGUGGAUGGGAAACAAGGUUUGCUUUCUGUGGGAGAAGCUGCCGAACCCCCGGGUGAGUGGUGGAGAGGCAGAUGGGAAUGAAAAGUUGGGUACAAUAAUGUCAUCCACUUCAAUCACAGACCUAAAUUACUCGAGUAGUCUUCUGUAUUUCCCAUUAAUUUUCUAUGAGAAUGUAUUAGUCUGUGGUUAAAAAGAAUAAAAAUAUUUAAUUCUUUUUCUAUUUCAAGAUAAGUCUAUUUUGAGAUUAUGAGGUAGUCCAGAUAACAUUUGAAGUUAGUCUUUGUAUGUGGUUCUUUUGAAAAAUCAAAAUGCCACAUAGAAUUGAACAUAAAUAAUAGCUUAAGAACGCAGGCAUACGUCCGUACUUGCUCAUUCAACUCCUAGGAAGGGUAAGAUCAUCUUUCAGGCUGCAGUUUUAUUAUUUAUUUAUGACACCUUCAUCUUUCACUGCUUCCUUCAAAUUCACAGCAUGAGAAUUUAAGGUUAUCACAGGACUAGAUUUUUGUGAUCAAAUGGGUGGUUUUCAAAUGAAGUUCAUCGUUCAAUGAAUGGGCUCAACAAAGCAUACUCUACAUCAAACUCACAGGCACUGCGACCAUGGUUCAAAUGCUUCUUUUCUUUGCAUGGCUUCAGAAGGAUUUUAAUUACUGUUUCUGGAUGAGAAGAGAAAAUUAAUUACCUUUUUGAAAAAUAUGAUUAUCUUCAAGAUUUCUCUCUUUGUUAAUAUGCUAGUAGCACGGUGUCAGGAAAAGAGCUCCAGAGGAUAGAAGUAAAUUCAAUGUAAACUAAAUAGAUGGCCCACAGAUGGGUGUGGGAGGCAGGGAGGGUGUUGAUGGCACUAACAUCAACCAGGGGACUUCUAUGGCAAAGAACUUUGCUUCAUCCACAGGCUGGAGGUGAGACACAAGUUCAAGACUGCAAUGCUGAAAACUGACAGAGCUAACCUCCCAUCUAGGGUGGAACUAGGCCACCUUCCUAGGGUGUAGCGGGACUUGGGUCAGGUCUCCGAGCAUGUGCACUCGGCUUGAUACUCAGUAAGUUAUAGGUUUGAAAUUGUACCUAGAGAGCAGGUGGUUGUCUAGAGUGUGGCUGUCUGGGUGCUUCACAUGCAAUUGAGUUAUCACUUCCUGGAAGCUUUUGAAAGUUAGGUAAUUAAACGUUUUUGUUGGGUUCAUUUUAAAAUUAGAGAUUGUGGGUCUGUAAAUGACACGGAAAAUCCGAGUUUCCAUCAUCUCACUGUCUGUUUCAUGGGAGGACUCAGAUAAUUCUUUGAGUAUUUAGUUUGUGUGAGAAAGAAAAGCCCUUGGUGAUUAAAAAAUCGUCUAGCAAAGGCUCAGGUUUACUGCUCUGAGGUCCACAAGCCAUUGCAUUUGAGUCACCAUGAAUGGUUACGUUCACAAUAAUUUAGCAUAUCUGUGCUGCAUCCCACAAUGAGCUUGCACUCUCGAGUUUUCCAUGUUCCAGGACCACAUUUCAUCUCAACGUGUUCACCCUGAAUCAUCCUGUGUUCAUCAGUGGAAUAUGACAGGGUCUGGAUUUUGAACAAAUUAUAAUAUGAUGCCUUAUGAGGUCUGUUCUGUCAUCUGCAUGCAAAUUAUUUUAAAAUAAUUUAUGUGUGUAAAGAUGGUUCACAAGCACUAGGUAAUGUAAUGUAUGUAGCACUUCCUCAGUUUUGGCUCAGCGUCUUCCUCUCCAUUUCAAAUUUAGAGCAAGUGAGAGGGGAAGGUUAAGUGAUGUGAUGAGGGAGUGUGGCAGAGUGACAAUGCAGAGUGGUGGCAUUGCACUCGCUGACUUCUUGACGCAGGCUUCUGAACCCACUAAGCCUCCUGGCUGUAGUAGGCAAGGACUCAGUCACAUGAAGACCAAGAAAUAAUUUAUCAUAUUAGAUCACCAUGAGAAUAAGACCACGAAUUGGCAGAGUGCUUCAAAAUUUUCAGAGGAUAUUGAAGUGUUCUAUAACAUAAAGCAUAUUGCAUAGAAUAAAAAGAUAUACUAAAUACAUACAUGAAAGAGAUGGACAGGUGCAAUACAUAUAUUCUUGAAAUAUAAUUUUAGGACUAUGAUUAUCACAGAUAUUAUCUCUCUAUACAAAUGAGUAAACUGACAUCCAGGGGGAAAAACAUCAUCUCUGCAGAAUCAGGUCUAUACCUCAUUUUAUAUGCCAGUAUUAUAUUAUCAGUUGGAUAGUUGGGUACUUGAAACCCCAAAUAUGAGCUGCUCCAUUACAAAGUUUGUUUUCUGUAUAAUUCUACCUUCUACUAGAUUCAAAUUAAUCCCAUGUGUUUACCAGGAAGUGGAAAUUAAUUUCAAGUUCCUAUCCCUUUUUGUUAAGUAAACCAUUUUAAGUGUGUUCUUUUUUCUUUUAACAGGGAAGCAUAUGUAGAGAAGGAUUUGGUACAGGCUGUUAGACAAUGAGCCAUCUCUGUAUUUGUUAAAUAGUAUCAGUAAUCUUAUCUGUAUUAGGUCCCCUAGGAAUAAAUUGUAUCAUGUAAACAGAACAAAUACUAAGAUACUUUUCUUGAAGGCUUCCAGGCAUUUCAUAAAGCAGUCAUAAGAAUAUAAUGUAUGGACAUAUUAUUUGUUUUAUAUUUUGAUCACUAAAAAUCAGUAAAAAUUCUUUGUAAUAUUACCUUUCUCUGCCUUCUACAUCCCCCAUCUUCCUUUCUACUUUGCUUCCUUCCUUUCUUGCUUCCUUCCUUCCUCCCUCCCUAAUUCCCUCCCUCCCAGUGUUCCUCCCUCCCUCUCUCUCUCUCUCUCUCAUGUCCGUUCUUUUGUCUGGUGGUAAUAUAAAGUCAGUCAGGAAUCCCUUUUUAAAUAAAAAAAUAUGUAUACACCGAAGUCUGUAUAUGACUGGCAAUUUAUUCAGUAAUUGCAUAGAAAGCUUUGUAAUUUGGCUUCUUAAAAUACUUGCAUCAAAAUCAAUGAUUCUCUAUUAUAUUUAAAAUUUCUGAACAUUCUAUAGUAUGAGUUUUUCAAUUAUUAAUUGCUUCUGCUCUGUUGGUUUUCCAGCUUCAAUAAUUAGAGGCUUAUUUUCCUGGAGCUUUAAAAGAUGUAUUUUAACUCAUCUAGUUAAAUAUGGUUUAAAUUUCCUGAAAAUUAAUUCAUUAUUUACUUCCAUUCAGAAUACAAGGGCAUCUAGUUUUGAUGUAUAAAGGAAAUAGUUUCUCGUUAUUGUGGAAAUAAUUUUAAUGGUUGAACAAAUAACCAAAUAACCUUGAAAUACAACACACCCCUAAGACUAUUUUGUUGGCAUUUAAAAGAUGUGGCUUUCCAAUAUGUGAGUAAAGGUGUGGCUCCUGCAUGAGCUGUACCGCCUUUGACUUAUGAUACAUCUGUAAAGACUUGUCUUGCAUGAAUGCCCAUCGUAUUUAUGGAGGCUCUGUGGGCUAGCUGCUUUCUCAGGCAGUUAAAACUUUGCUCUCAUUUAAUUCUUACAAAAAAUAUGUAACACAAACAUAAUUACUUUACCAAGGAUAUUCUGUGAGCUCAAAUGUAGAGCACCAACAAAGACAAGGACUAAAUAAAUACCAAUAAUGUUCUUUGAGAAAAAUAUAUUAGUAUUUUAAAAGGUUACUAGAAUAGACAUUAGUGGAAAAAAGCAGAAAUGAGCUUAACUUUAUUUUACUGAUAUGUUUUCAUUUUGAAUUCUAUUGGAUGGGGGACAGAAGACAUAGAUCUUUUCAGUAAUUAAGAUCUACAAAUCAAUAGUAGAAUCAUAGGCUUUCAAUUUUAUAAAUAAAACAGCUGAGAUUUACAGUCAAAUUUGUCUCUGGUGGGUCUGGUCUAUUGAAUGUCGGGUAGAUUCCAACCUAGGGCUUUCUGGUCCCUAACCCUGCUCUCCUAUCAUGCAAAACCCCUUCCUAUAAAAGAGACAAGAGACAAAUCUAGAUUGGAUAUCUAAUAACUAUGUUGAGUAUAUCACUGGCAGUUAAUAGUAACUGAAACCCUUUUUAUAUUUCAAAGGCUUAUUUCCAUGAAUUCUUCACUGAAUACUAAAGGGAAUUGCUUUAUGGAUGUUUCUGUUUGGAAAACAUUUCUGAGUAAACCACAAACCAUAAAUUUAUAUUCCAAAGUUUGGAAUUUAUCCUCACUUUGGAAAGUGGCCAGGAUCAAGUUAAAGAAUAUUAACAAAUAGCUUAUAUUCAUAUAUAGUCCAUUGUAUGGGCAAAAAAAUUAUAUACAUGAUCUUUUAAAUAAGACUAAGCAAUUGUACUUUUCUGUAACACAAUAUCAAGAUCUGUUUUUAUUGAAUUAGAGCUGGCACCGGAGAAAACCAAAUGACAUCUGGUGACAUUGCUGCUGGCUCUAAUAACAUAAAGAUUCUGAAAAUAGAAUUUCUUGCAGAAGCCAGCACUAAGAUCACUUUAUUCUGCCUCUGUCCAGUGGUUAAUGUCACACAAUUUGAAAACACAUGGAUAUGAUAUGAUUUUUGCAUCUGUAAGGACAUAUUACAUUUUUCAAAAACUAAGUAUUAUUGGAGUCUGUCCUUCCCUAUGACGUCACGGAUUUUCUAUGUCAGGAAGCGAGAAUGAGUAUAACAAUAAAUGAUUGUUCACAUAUUUAAACUUUCUCUUUGGAAGAUAAUAUCAAAACAAGAAAACAAAGCCUUUCACAAUAUUAAUGAGGUAUUACAAAGUUAUCAGAAGCAUGGAAAUGCAUGCCUAGAAACAGACAUGAUACCUAGAGUCAUUGUGAAUUAAGUGUGAGAAAAAAACAUUGUGAUCUCUUCAUAAACUAUAGUUUGAAAUUAUAAAGUUUCAAGUUGCUUGGAAAUUCACACUCUGUCUUUUUCUUAAGUGGUGUCUUGUUUUUAUUGUUUGAUUUUGUGGUUUGUUUUCAAAUCCACUGUGAGAUGGCAUACAUGAUAAAGGUUAAUUCCCAAAGUUAAGUUAACCACGGGGAUACUUCUCACUAUCCCUGCACACACACACACACAAACACACACACACACACACACACACACACACACACACACACACACACUCAUUUUGCUUGUUCCUAGUUGGAGGACCAGUCAUAGGUCAAGAUGAGCCUGAAACCACGAAGCCUUGGCUGAGACAGGCAGAGGAAAAGGGAAAAGGGCAAACAGUACUAGUUUAAGCCAACUGUACUUUGAUGGAAAAUGAGCAUCCUAUAGAUAGCAUAACUAAUCUAAAUGAGCUCCUCUGUGCAAUUGCUCUUCGAUUUUGAGAUCCCUCCAGAUGGCCUUAAGACUGCUUGUGGACACUUAAUAUCUUCUACAUGUCAUCAACUUCAACUAGGCUAUAUACCUACGUACAUUAGUGCCCUUUGCAAAUGGUCUGUCUACACCAGGGAAGCAAAAUGCUGAGCCUUGCUUCAGUGAUGGAUGCAGUAAAUACGAAAGGAAGAGAUGAUCAAAAUGUACCAGUUACCUUGAAUCACAGUACGAAUGCUGUCUUGCAAAUAGUACCUACGCUUAAAAUACAUUGGGCUUGCCAAGUCUCGAUAGUCUGAAAAAAUAAUUCUAUCCUUUGUCAUUUGUAGAAAAGAGUAGCUGUAUUAAUUUCUCUUUUUACUCUCAGUUGUAUUUUUUUUUCUUUUUGUCUCACAAAGUUUCCGUGUUUUUCCUAUCAUUAAUGUGGGAUGGUGGGUAGUUUAGGCUGCCUUGUGUAGAAGGACAGGCCUCCAAUAUUGGACAGGCUGAAGACACUGGUGUAGAUAAAGAUGGUUUCAGAUUCCAGAGUGUGUCAAAGCGGCAUAGAGGUGCUCACUAACUGAGAUGAUUGAGAUAUGCAAAACAGUUAAAUUAAUAGAAAAGAUUUGUUUCUAUUUUAGUAACUGCUGCCCUUCAGAAUGACAUUAAGGACUUCCACCCCUCAAUUUGAAGAAAAGAAAAAAAAAGCCAUGUGAGGCUGUCAAGUCCACUAAGAGUAGCUGACUGGCCGAAAUAGAACCCACAGGGAGAGGGUAUCUCUCACUUUGAAUCUGCUCAGUACUGGGUUCUGGCAGCAGCAGCAGCAGUUUAUAGCUCACAUCUUCCACUUCCACCCUCCUUGUCUGUGAUAAUUCACAUUUCAUUUUGCAAUUAAAGGUGACCUGAAAAUGCUGACAAAGUCAUAGAUCAGUCCUCAAGGUGGCCGCAUUGAGAUUUAGCUAAGAAAUGACCAGAAGUAGGAAAAGGGCACAGACAAUCUGAAGCAAGACAUUGACUUAAGGUAAGAUACAAAAAAUGUGAAAUGACACCAAUUUUUCUUUUUCUUAUUUUGGCUCAUGAAUUUAUCAUUUCAGAUUUGUAGGUUUUUUUCCGCUUUUACUAUUUACGUAUCGAAUGGUGAAUCCAAGAUAUGGAAGACAUCAGGCAAGCAGUUGUGCUUAAUAACUUGGGAUAAAACUAAGGAAAGAAGUCUGCUUUUAAAAAAUCACAAUCCGGAGAUUUUUUUCCGAUAUUACAGACUCUGUGAUGAGUACAAGACGUAAGUUCCAUGUGUGAAAGGGAAGAAUUAAAGUUGAGGUUUCAGGGCUUGGAAUUUGUGCCCUGCACCCACCACUCAGGUGCCCUCCCCAGGUCCCGAAAGCCACCUCCUAGGUGGUGUCCCACCCAAAAGCCCAUCCCACCGAAGUGUCCAGAGGCCUUAAGCAAUGCAGCUCUGGAAUGAGGGUUGCUGCAGAACUUAGCCCAACGUAGCUGACCUGGACAACUCUGACGCUCUACGGCCCCCUGGGGGAUUGCACCAAAGAUGGCUCUGUGACUCUACCCCUUUGCUAGGCGUCUUUCCCUGCUCUGCCUCUGAUGGUCUGAGGUCUUUAUCAGAAAACUCUUCUUAAAAAUCACUCUCACAUGAAUCCUUGUCUCAGCAUCGAUUUCCCAGGAAUUAAACCUAAGGCAAAGAUGAUUAAUUUUUAAUUUUCCUUUUUUUUUUUUUUUUUUUUUUUUUGAGAUGAAGUCUUGCUCUUGUCACCCAGCCUGGAGUACAGUGGCGUGAUCUCUGAUCUCAGCUCACUGCAACCUCCACCUGCCAGGUUUAAGAAAUCUUCCUGCCUCAGCCUCACGAGCAGCUGGGAUUACAGGUGUGCACCACCACGCCCAGCUAAUUUUUUGUAUUUUUAGUUGAGAUUGGAUUUCGCCAUGUUGGCUAGUCUCGUCUUCAACUCCUGACCUCAGGUGAUCCAUCCGCCUUGGCUUCCCAACGUGCUGGGGUUAUAGGCAUGAGCCGUCACGGUCGGCCAAUUUUCCUUUCUUGUAUUAAUAACAAUUGUAUAGGAAACAAAAAGGAUACACUUUAUAUAAAAAAUACACAGGAUAUUCAAUUUUAUAUCAUUCAAAUUUUUGGUGUAAUAGUAACAGUAAUUAACAUAAUUACUGUAUUUUGAUUGAUGUCCUUACAAACUUUUCUUAUGUUAGAAAAAAUGAGAAGCAUCAGUGUAGUCUGCAUGUUCGAGGGAACAUGCAUCACUUUCGAAAGCUGGAGGCAUAGUUCAUUUUACCAGUCCAGGUCUGUUGAAUGUUUGAGUACUUUCUUAUACAGAUUAAAGUUUUUAAUGCUGGAAAGAGCAUUCUAAUACUUAUGUCUUUGCAUAUUGUCACUUUUUUUUUUAAAAGAGACAUUCCUAUACGUAAAAUUUCCAGGUCAAAUGUAAAGCUUUUUGACAUGUAAUGCCAAUUUUGUUUUUAAUAAAUAUUGUAUUGAUAAUCUCCAAAGCAGUGAAAAUAAAGUCCCAAUUUUUCAGAUACUUGUGUGAGUGCCCAGGGAUUACGUUUUUUUAUUUUUUUAUUUUUUUUAUUUUUUUGAGACGGAGUCUUGCUCUCUCACACAGGCUGCAGUGCAGUGGUGCAAUCUCAGCUCACUGCAACCUCCGCCUCCUGGGUUCAAGCAAUUCUCCUGCCCCAGGCUCUAGAGUAGCUGGGGCUACAGGCACACACCAUUACGCGCCUGGCUAAUUUUUGUAUUUUUAGUAGAGAGGGGGUUUUGCCAUGUUGGCCGGGCUGGGGAUUACUAUUUUAAAACACUUAUAUAAUCUAGGGCUAAAACUACUCGUCAUUGUAUUACUAGUCAUGUCUUUGAUUAUAAAUUAAAUUGAACAUCUUUGAUAAACUUCUUUACCAAUUGAUCAUUCGUUUUAUGAACUGGUGAGCUACAUCAGUGUUAUCCCUUACCGUUUCACUCUUACAGUUUUGAAAACAUUUUUUCGUAUUCACUUGUGAGUGCCUGUCAUGUAGUGACUUUAUGUAACCACAUCUCGCAUGUAUUCAGUUGAUCAAGAUCCCAGGGGCGUGACCCAUGGCCCGGAAGGAAAGAUGUACAGGGUCGGCCAAUGCAAGCCCUGACCUCUGUCCUCACCAGCCCACGCUCCUGCUGGAAACCCCCCUGGACAUCAGAGGAUGCAGGAGCUGAGGAAGGAGGAUGUGGGCGUGCAGAAGCAUGGAGAGUGGAUUUGGAGGGCAGAUCAAGAAUGGCCAAUGCAAACACUUGCUGAAUUUUUACUUCGGUCUGAAGUCUUACUUUAUCUUUUCGUUUAUUUAUGGUAUCUGUUAUAUACAGAGGUUAUAUGAAACUUGAGGCAGCCAAAAUGAUUAUUUUUCUUCUCCCAGUUUCUAGUUUUGAAGUUCUACUAAUGAGGUCUUUAUCGGCAUAAUAUUACGUACAUAUUAAUAAAUGUAAGUUUCUACUUUUUUUUAACAAAUUGAUAUUUUUCUGAAAAUUAGUUUGGUGGAUGGUGGAAGACUGGUAUUGUUUUCUUGAAAGAAUUGGCCAGGUUUUAGGCGAAUUUUUAUUGAAAAAGCAUUCCAACACACACUAUCUGGUAACUUUUUGAGAGUUUAUUUUCCACCUUAGCUUGCCUGUGACUAGUUGUCAGAUACUAACCUGUCUGUUCACAUAUCUAAGCAAUUUUAAAUUCUGUACUUUUUAAUAGACAUUUUAUGUAUUGCAAAAUCUCAUCUCCUUUUUAAAAAUAAAAUAUCUCCCUUAAAAAUUACAAUAGUUUUAGUCAUUAAAAAUGCACAUAUACACCGUGGAAUACUAUGCAGCCAUAAAAAAAGGAUGAGUUCAUGCCCUUUGUAGGGACAUGGAUGAAGCUACAAACCAUCAUUCUCAGCAAACUAGCACAAGGCCAGAAAACUAAACACCACAUGUUCUCACUCAUAGGUGGGAAUUGAACAAUGAGAACACUUGGACACAGGAAGGGGAACAUCACACACGGGGGCCUGUCAUGGGGUGGGGGAAGUGGGGAGGGAUAGCAUUAGGAGAUAUACCUAAUGUAAAUGAUGAGUUAUUGGGUACAGCAUGCCAACAUGGCACAUGUAUACAUACGUAACAAACCUGCACGUUGUGUGCAUGUACCCUAGAACUUAAAGUAUAAUAAAAAAAUAAAAAUGCUUUGAUAUUUUGGCUGGAAUAAUUGCGCAUACACGCGUUUGGGAAAACUGUAGUCUGGGCACGUAUGUAUGUCUUAAUUUAUGGAGAUCUUUCAUGCUCUUCUGUGGAAUUUUAUAAGCAUUUAAGAUGAUUUUCUUAAAAUCAAUGAGGAAAUGUCUUUAUAUGGUUUAUCUUGAUAAUUAUACAUUUUUUGUUACAUGAGCACAAAUAUUUUUAAAUUUCUCUGAAUGAUUAGUCUCAGCAUUUAUAAAAGUUACUUAUCUUCUACAUUUGUUCGUACCUAUCCCAGUUAAGGAUGUAUCUUUGUUGCUUUUGAAUCUUAAGGAAAGCAUUGCUAUUAGCUUCAGAUAAUUUUAUCAUGAUUUCUAUAUCUUCGCUUUAUACUCUUUCAAUCUUUUUCUCUCUCCCACCAUACCCUGGAAUAAUUUGGUACUUUUAUAUUAUACUUAUUUUUGCUAUUAGGUCAGGUUGGUGCAAAAGGAAUUGUGGUUUUUGCUUUAAAAGUACUGGCAAAGACCUCAAUGACUUGAGCCAACGUAAUAAAAACAUGACCUAUAUUUGGUACUUAGGUGUUCUGGUUUUGCUGUUUUCAGCUUUUGAAGUGGCAGCUUGAUCCCUAGAUUCAGGCAGAACACUGUUUAAUAGAUGCUCCCUUUCUCCUGCUUCAUUCCAGGUGCACUCUCAGCUGCCACAAAAGCAAGAGCAGCAUCAUUGUUUUAAAACAUAGUUUUCAAAACAGUUAGAACUCAGCAUGCAUAGUAAAGGAUGAAACCUCAUCUCCCUCAUUGGAAACCUGUCCUAACUGUGUGGGCUUCAGUCAGCUGCCUGCCUGGAGCCUGAGAUGCUGCUGCCUGGGUUUGUCUCAUUUCUUCUAUGGCCUCUGCAGUCACAUCUGUAUUCAUCUCUGAUUCGACUCUCACUGCAUUCCAGAACAUAUGGACAGAAUCUGUUGCUUCUCUCUUGAGAUUUACCUGACAGUCUCCCUUUCUUUAUGCAAUAAGAUGUACCUCACUUUGGGUGGCAUUACAAAGGCCUGAUGACCAGGCAAUCAGGGCCGCUCUGUCCUGCCCCUCUAUGCAGCCACAUUCAGAGACCUAAUGUGUCCAUAGCGUUUCAGUUGUCUGCACCUGUCCGGCUUACCUGACCCCAGACCUUUGCAAUUGUCCAAGAGAAAUUGAACCGCACAAGAUAAACACGCGAAGGGGAAUUUACUCAUCGUGAUUGCAAAAGGGGAAGGGGACUGAAUUUGGCUCCACUGAAAUAAAAGAUGGGAGGGAUUUUGAGCCAUGGGACAAGGAGGGAAAUGGUCAGUGGAUGAGUCCAGCACGUUGAGUUGGUUGCUCAUUUGUUUCCCAGUGUUUUUCCCCAUGGGUAUGCCACCUGUGUUUGCUAAUCAGUGGUCUUGGAGGCGAGGUCUGCAGCCUCCCACAGUGAGUGGAAGACAGGGGUGCUCUCUAGUCUGAGAGCGUGUCUGAGGGAUGGCUCCCAGGUCAUUGAGAAAGACCAUUCUCGGUGGUAAAACUGUCAAGAAACUCUCAAAGAUAUUUACAUACAUUACAAAGGGGCAGAGGAGAAAAUUGCAAAUGCAAGUUUCCUAAAGUAAAUGCCCUUAGACAGGGAGAUCAGGAAUAAACUUUAUAAAGCUGGGUCUGGCUGAGGACAUGUGAAGAUCAUCGCGUUGGUCGCUUGUCAUCUCGUCUCCCUGGAAUGCCUUCUGCCAAAUCAUCUGGCCAGCCCCUUGUUCCAGCCUGACAGCAAAGGAGGCAUUUUCAUGCAGGCUUCUGGAGCAACUGGAUGCAGGCGGAACUGGUCUUAUUGCAUUUUCUUCCCUUCAUUAUGGAAACCACCUUGAUGAGGCUUAAGUUUUUUUGGUCCUGGAUCUGUCCACAGACCGUAAACUCCUUGUGGAAUAAGAACACUUACUUGUCUUUGUAAUGCCAGUGGCUCUCCUGGUGAGUGUUAAAUUUUAACUACCUGAAGCCUUGCCCUUAGCUGUAUUUGUUUCUUUGCUUUAUGACAUAUCAGAGAGGCUUAAAACAAAUAACAUAAUAUCAAGUAGUGAUGGCUUAAAAAGCCUUGAGUAUUUCCCCUAGUGGCAAUAUUUUCAGUCUACCUUAACAUGAGAACAACACCUCAUGGUUCCAUUUAUAGCUCAUUUGUGUUUAAUUUGAAGAAGGGCUGCCUCAGUGCAGUACUUAGUGUGAUUUAUGAAUUGCACUCAGAGUACCUGAAGGCGUGCACAGGUACGGAGGUAACUGACAAGAGCGCUGGGGGACCUGUCAGGAUGCCUCCCCGCCUGGAACUGCGGAUCCCAGUUCACAGAAGAUAAUUAUUUUCUAUAUUGUACUCAUUUAUUCUAGAAAUUCCUUUCCGAGGAACAAGUGUGUGUUGUUAUGGUUAAAGAAGAAAAAACAGAAAAUUUGAAACAUAGCUUAAGAAAGCUGACAGGACGCGGUGGCUCAUGCCUGCAACACCAGCACUUUGGAAGGCCGAGGUGGGCAGGUCAGGAUAUCGAGACCAUCCUGGCUAACACGGUGAAACCCCAUCUCUACUAAUAAUACAAAAGUUAGCCUGGUGUGGUGCUGGGUGCCUGUAAUGCCAGCUACUCAGGAGGCUGAGGCGGGAGAAUUGCUUGAACCUGGGAGGCGGAGCUUGCAGUGAGCCAAGAUCGUGUCACUGCACUCCAGCCUAGGCGACAGAGCAAGACUCCAUCUCAAAAAAAAAAAAAAAAAAAAAAAAAAAAAAAAAAAAGCUGUGGCACCAGCAGACCUAGAAAUGUGUUCUGAUUGCCCCUCAAUAUGUGAGCUGGUUAAGCGUCUUUCCACUUAAAAAUGUGGCCACUACAUUCUUAUACAUCUUUUCCAGUUUCUAUCUACUGUUGGUAGUUUUUCCUGUAUCUAUUCCACCUGAUUCUUCACUAUUACUUUCCAUAUAUUAAAGACAGCAGAAACUUAAAUACACACCUACCCACCCCCCACAUCUUUCUUUGACCUUUCUACCCAACUUCCUAAGGCACCAUUCUUUCUCUUCUCUGGCUUUACUCCACCAUGGAAAGAAUAGUAAGAUUCCCUUCCCAACGUUCUAAAUGACCAACUCCUGAUUUAAUUUCUUGCCACCUGUAAUCCGCAGUCAUCAUCACCUGACUCCAGUUCUUGUCUUGGAGUUGCUGACACCCGGCAGACUGUAUGGAAGGAUUUUCUCAAUGGAAAGAACAGGAAGCUUUGAUGGACUUGUCUUCCUCCGUGUACCGGCUCAUGUUAUGAUCAUAGGCGAGUAUAUGAAUGAGUGUGGUGGGUUCUUACCUGUGCUCUCUCGGAGGUUAGGGGCUGCUAUGAAGGAGAAGCCCACAGAGCAGCAAUCAUGGGAAGCUCAUUCUAACAUAAAAGGCAUCUUCCCAAAGUCAUCCAUCAAUGUCCUGCUAAUUUUCACCACUAGUUUUAUUUUGCAAAACAUCUGUUUAUAAUUUUCUUUUACAGUUAUGAGAGAACACAUAACUGCUGGAUAGAAGGUCCUAUGCAAGGGGCUGAAGACAUUAAAAAGAAGACUAACUCAAAGCAUGUAUCUGUUGAACGUAAAUGUGAAUUGAAUGCCCACCAUGCUCCACACUCUGUGCUAGAAUGACCCAUGCCCUCGAGUAGGGAGGAUGCAAAAUUUACUUUCCAUUUGUUUUAUUAAUUCAUCUUUUACCAUAAGAUGUGCCUACAAUGCAAACAAGCCAGUAGCAUCACUAAGGAGAGGGACACUUCUGGGCAGUUGGGUGCUCCAGUGCCUCGGGUAAAUAAGUGUUUGGGAACACCAACACCUUAAGUAAGCAAAUAAUUGCACAAAGGGUAAAUAAAUGCAAAAUCAAGCCUGAGCACAGAAGUGGUGUUUCAUCCAGCCUGGGUACCUGUGAGUGCUUUCAUAAAAAGGUGACUGUGGGUAGCUAAAUGUAGAAUAAUGAAAGACGAAGAAGCUUAAAGUAAUAGCAGGUCGCAGGUCCUAGGGAGGACUGUGUUGAUGAAUGCGGAAAGGGAGGAGAGGCCCCAGAACACACAAGACAGGAUGGUGAGAUACUAAUCCAUAUGGGGGUGAGUUGGUCUCAGGCAGGUAGACCAGCAGCCAGUGGUGAGGGAGGCAGAGCCCCAGUGAGCUGUGUGCGGGAUUGGUCAGGAUGAUGUUUUAAUGAGAAUGAUUGUGCACAGGUACCAGAAUAAAAAGAAAGGGAUUAUCUUUUGUAAAGGCAAAUGUGAUUUUCUUCACAAGUCUCUACAUUUGAAAAUAAAUGUCUAUUUUCUAUCACCAUGAUAGCCAACUCUACAUGUUUAAAGUGGUGUUUAAAAGUUUUGUUUCUUUUCACCUUGCAUCCAUUUGGGACUCGACAGUGUACAUUUGCAAAUUAUGGCCUUCAGUAAGCUAAGGGCUUUUCAGUGUUCAUUAACAUAGUAUGUCCAAACUGUUAUUAACCCAUUGCAUCACUUUGUCGAAAUCCAAAUCAUUUUUAGAAAUAAAAAGUUGGGAGGAUUUCUAUCUUAGACAACAUUUUAAAGCAGUAUUUCCUGAAAGGUAUUAUUGAGUUAUAUCCAUAGUACAUUUUUCCAAGAAGACAAGAGCUAAGAAAUAUUUUCUUUUAUAGACUAUCUUUUUAUCUUAACUCUGUCAAAAGUGUCUGUUUACAUAUUUUUAAUAGGGCCUAAUCUUGAAGCACUGGGGAAAACAUCAACAUAAGAUUAUUUAAUGUAUAUUUAUAUAUUUAUAUAUAUGAGAAAUCAUAAGAAAUCAUGGUUAACAUAAUGUCCGUUGAUGUAACAUAUGUAGAAUCCAACUCUCAUUGUGCAUACAAACCUUCAUAAAUCAGGUGUGAAGAAACACCAUAGGAUUAGUGGAGGUUCUGUUUACUUGCAAGCCUGAGUUCAGAGUUCAUUCCCUCAGGAGCCACUAUGGGCUCCAUGGGAGGGCCUGAGUUAUUUAUUAUUAAUUGAUUUUUUUGCUUUUUCAUUCAGUAAACAUGCAAUAAAUGCCCUGCUGCAUGUUGGGCAAGAUUUCGGCAGAGAGCAUAUUUCUCAAUUAUCCUGACAAUGAAAUGCAGUGAAUUUUAGGUCGCUGCAUAGUUGCCUUACUUUCUGGUUGCCGCUCUUUUCUUUUCUUUGUAAAGCACGUUAGCCUUCCGUACAUAUUCGUGAUCGAAGGAGAACUCUGUCUCACUGCUUUGGACGAUGUUCUCGUUUAAUCCACAAACUUAUUUUCUUCUUGUGUCCUAACAACCUUACACGAGGCCCCCACGUCAUGCAUACAUAGUUGGGUCACCGAAUGAAAAGGGUAACUAGCAGGUAAGACAGUCACGAUAGGAUAUUCUGCUACUCCAUACCCCAUUCCACUUGUUUCCAACGCACCAACACAUGCUCUGUUGCUGGGCAGCAUAUGUUCAUGGAAAAUGCAUCAGGUCUACAGGACCAGUACACAAAGCGUUGUAUAUUUUAUCAAAACUUUAUUUGGCUUUAAAAUAUUAUUAAUGUAAUCACCUUUGAAAAAAUGUCUUUUUUUCUAGCUAUAUUUCCACAUAGUUUCCAAAUAUUUAUGUAAAGAUUAAAAAAUGUAUUACACAGUUUGGCAUUCAUUCAAAUAUAUAUUAUUUUUUUAAAAAUAGAACAUUUUAAUAAAUGAAUUAGCUAAGCUCGAUUCUUCAAACCCUCUUGGCAUUUAAUGAUAUAAAUGUUCGUAAAUCAACAGAUUAAUAUUUGAUAAGGUAACACAGAUUCUUCAAAUUAUUUGGAUACAUCUGUUUUACCUUAUUAUUUAUCAAGUUAGCUUCUGGGCCAAGAGAAAUCAGCCCAGUUACUAAGCUCUCUCUAACUAUUGUUAACUCCACAUCCAGCUACCUUUCAUCAACCCCCAGGCUCUCUCUAUUAUGGAAAUUAUCCCAAUAAUUUAAACCCCAACUAAAAUUCCUCCUCUUGAUGCCUGCCCAAUUGGGCACAAUCUGAAUUAGCCACUCCUUCGUUUGCUCCAGCACAGCAAGUUUGCUUGGAUAUAUCUUUAGUGAGUUCUUCUCUGCCUUGCAUCCAUUUUUUUCUCAGCUGCUCAGGAGGUUGAUAGCAUUGUCCAUAUCUCAGUUGAUCAAUUAGUGAGUUAUUUCCAUUUCUCUCUUUCCCUUCCAUUUCCUUCCCAGCAGUAUAAUUUUAAACUAAAUAGGCAUCUGCAAGCACUUUUUGAACUGAACUGCAUUUAAUUGAAUUAUGCUUUGAAACAGUAUACAGUGAAUUAUCUUGAAAAGCUAUAAUCCGCAACGUAUUAUCUGACAAUCCGAUGAUGUGCUUCUUCAGUUUUGUGGAGAACAAUGAAUUGAAAAUGAUCCCAGUCACAGAAGGGAUUGCUACCCCUGAGUUAGAGCUGUUUAAUAGCUAAACUAUUCGUGUGGCGCAUAUGGAAGGUCAUUAUUGUAAGAUUCAGCCUAGGUAAAAGCUAUGCCAUUUUUUUUAUGAGACGGAAGAACACAGUUUCUAAAAAUAAAGAAAAAAAGUCACGAACCAUAUUCACUGCAUGAACAUCAGAGGGAGACGCAAGAUUUGAACCCAGUGGGUGAGCCCAUGCGUUGUAUACCUGGUCCUCAUGCUGUCUCAUAGCUCUCUACAUAGGUGCGAAAGCAUGCGGCUGCUUAAACAAGAAGUAGGCAUUCCAGGAUAUUCAAUAAACAGCUCUAGAAUUUUAAAUAAAGAGUGUGCAACAUGGAAAUUACCUUCAAAUAACCAUCCUCAGCAAAGGUUUUUUUUGUUGUUGUUUUUUGUUCUUUGUUUUUUUUUUUUUUUUUUUGAGAUGGAGUCUUGCUCUGUCGCCCAGGCUGGAGUGCAGUGGUGCGAUCUCUGCUCACCGCCAGCUCUGCCUCCCGGGUUCACGCCAUUCUCCCGCCUCAGCCUCCAGAGUAGCCGGGACUACAGGCGGCCGCCACAACACCCGGCUAAUUUUUCGUAUUUUUAGUCGAGAUGGGGUUUUUUUUUUAACACAUUUUUGUGUUUUGAAAAGUAGGUUAAGAAGAGCAAAGAGAAUCAUCUAAAUCCAGUAGACAAAAAUCUUUCCAGUCUUUUUUACAAAACAGUAGUUUAAAUUGAUAUUUUUAGAGAGCAGCUUGGCUGGUUUCCAAUUUGGGCAGAACACUUAAUUUGAAGAAUUAUAUUCCUUGGAAUACUAAUUGUCUUCUCGACUUAAUACUUUUAAGAAUACAGACGAUAACGUAAAAUUAUCUUCAAUUUGUUUGAAUCCAAACUUGAUAAAAUUGUAAAAAAGUAAUAUGCCAGAAAAUUAUUAAUCCAUGAUUGUUCCUUUGUGAAUUGAUACUAAUUUCUAGGUUCUAAAUUUAUACAUUUUGCUCUACUAUAUGUUUUCAAAAAGAUAGUCUAUCCUCUACCCCCACUAUCAUAAAGAAUAUAUUUCCCUAAUCUCUGUACAAUACCACUGUCUAACUUUUAUUAUCUACCUCUGAAAAACACAUGGUCACUCUCAUGAUUUCAGCAGUGUGUGCUGCUUAGAGAAAGCAAGAAAAACAAGAAUAAUCCGACAUCUCAUAUAAAGUUGAUUACCUCUGUGGAGAUGGAGAUUGCAUAGAUGAUGCACGCAGAAUGCUGUCUGUUGCCAGCGUAAUUCAUGGGCAUCUAGCAGCUGCUUCUUGUAAGAUCUAAAUGAAAAACUAGACGUUGGUUUUCUAUCAGGGUCUGAUAUUUUGACAUGUCAUAAGUGGCAUAAGGAAUAUAAUUUGUUCAGGCUCAAUAUUUUGAAGUGCUCAGGGUUAUGUAGUGGUGGCUUAAUCUUGUAUUUUAGUUUUCUUUCCCUUCAGGAAAAUAUUUCAAAUGGAAAUUAAACCAUGAUCUUUUAAUAAUAUUAAUUGUAGUCUUUUAGAUAAGUUAACAUAUAGUUAGAAACGACUGCACUGCCUCUUGAAAUGGUAUUCCAGAACCAGUACAUUGCAUAUUUUCUACUUAAUAAUAUACUUCAAUCAAAACUUGCUUGAAACUCAAUCCUUAUUUAUAUCUCUCAGUGACCAUUUAAUCCUUUAAGUAUAAUUGGUAAAAUGAGGUCAAAGAGUGGAGGCAUAAGUUAUUCAGAAGAUACGCAGCUAGUAAGAGAAUAGAUCUGCUCUUUCUAUGGUGCCCCAACCACAGAAAAAUGGUUGAUACGUUAUAAGAAGUCAUCAAUAAGUUAUUGAAUGAUGAUGGAGCUCUGAUCAUAUCACUAUUAUAAAUAAUGCACCCUUCUUUGUAACUGACCUAUAUUUUACUCUCAGCACAGACUGAAUUAAGUGCCUAAAAACCUAGAACAGGAAGGACUGUGAACGGAGUAGGAAAUCUUGCUGUGAUGAUUGGGGUUGAGAUCAUUCAGGAGGGAAAGAGUUGUUUUAUAUCUACAAAGCACAUGAAAUUCACGAAGGACUGUUCUUCCCUUGUCCAAAAGAGUUUUCAGAAAGAAAACACGGAAUAACAGUUUUGAAUUCAAUUCUACCCCCAAGUCCUUAAGCUGUUAAGUUGAUCGUUGACAAUUUUUAGUUCCUGUAUUAACCUCUUCGUCUCUGUAAUUUGAUGCUGAGUUUGGUAUUUUCUCUGUCCAUUCAACAAUUUUUGACACUGGAUGUUACAGCUGUACUCUGGAAGGCUUGCUAGGGGUGCGGGGUAAACUCACAGUCUGUCUUUGCAGAGGGCUUCCUUAUCUGUCUCCUCCCACACGCCACCAGAUAUUGAGAAAUAUAAGCCAGUCUAGACUUUUAAAAUUAUAACCCUACCUACAAUGCUGCUAUGGCAGGGUGUAUAAAUGAGAUGCCUAAUAAAUAUUAUUAACUCCAAUACAUACCAAAGAAAGAUCUUUUCUUUGCGUUAGUAAAUGGUGUAAUUUAGAUACAUUUUUUUUGGCCUCAUUUCAAAGAGCUCAGAGGAGAUUCAGGCUGCAGGAGCACUGAAUUGAGAUGGAGGAAGCACAAUAGCUCGCUCUGGUGAUGCAUCUGGGCCUGAAUAAUGACCUUAUUGAUAGAGAACCACACAGCUACAACAGAGGUGGAGAGGCUGCGUCCUAUGCAAAUGCGGGGCCCAUCACUCAGGCUCAGAGGCAUGCACUGGUUCUUCCUGUGUUGAUGGGACUACAAAUUUUUGAAAUGUAGGUUACUUUUUUGAUGUUUUUUAGGAGACAUGUAUGCUUACAUAUGUAAAUUUGAUAUCUGUAAUUUAAAUCACAGCACGUUAAAUAACUGAGAUGCUUGAGAAAAUACAUGUUCGAUAUAGCAUGAAAAUAUAUUUAAUAGGUCAGAAUACAGAUAAAAUGGAUUUUAUUAAAUUUAUACCAGUAAACACAGUUUACUGGUAUAAAUAUAAACUUAGUAAAUGUUAUACCAGUAAACAGCUAUUCUUUCUCUCUCCCCAAUUACCCGUAAACCACACAAUUAUCCCAUUAGUUUAGAUUUUAAAAUAGCGCAAGCAGGUACCAUGCAGAUAUGAUUUUAGCACAGCAAUUAUAAAUAUACGAGAUAUUUUUGUUCUCUUUUGCUAGGUGGUGACAUGCUACCUUUUACAUUUAUUUCAGUUCCAUUAUUUUAUAGGGAAAUUGAGUUUAAAACACCAGCUACUAUACUUACAUCAUUUGAGACUUAUUUGGUCUUAAUCAGUAUCCUGAGUCUUAAUAUAUUAAAAGUUGUAAUUGAGUUUUCCAUGUUAAUUUUGGUUGCUUUUCCACUGGGAAUCUAGAUAGAUAGAUAGAUAGGUAGGUAGGUAGGUAGGUAGGUAGAUAGAUAGAUAGAUAGAUAGAUAGAUAGAUAGAUAGAUAGAUGGAUGCAUGGUACUAUUUUGCUAUUUUAUUUACUACCAGGAUUAUUCACAAUAUUAAGACAAAAAGAUAAAACAAGUUACAUGCUCAGUAGUUAAAUAUAAUUCUGCCCUAAUUCAUUACUUCAGAAUAAACAAUGCAUCAUUUAAUUCAGCAAAAACACCUAAUUAUUUUAAUAAAGGUAGUUUAUAUGCUUCUGAAUUAUAAUGAUUUCUUUGGGGAGUGUUAAAGAUAAAUGCUGUAUAAUAAGAGGUAACCAUCGUAGCUACGUUAACAUAAGGAAUUUCAGACUCUAAGUCAGAGCUGCCCAAGUACAUAUACAAUUUAUGAUGAAACUACAUAUGCAAUAUUAAAUAUUUAGUAUUCACUCUAGAAAUUAUAAAGGAAACAGGUAAAAUUUAUUUCAGCAACAUAUUUUAUGUAAUUGUGUGUAUAUAUAUAUGUGUAUAUAUAUAUAUAUAUACACACACCAAGUAACACGAUUUCAAGAUGUAAUUAAUGUAAAAAUUGACUUUUACAUUUUGUUUCCAUUAGUUGUUCAAAAUCCCUUGUGCAUUUUACACUGACCAUGCUUUCCUGUUCUGAAGAGCCCAGUUUGAAUGCUCCAUAGUCUCCUGUGACCUCCUGGCUACUCUGGUAGACACGAACCUUCAGCUAGUCCCUAAGAUUUCACUUUCAUAGUGACUUUUUUUCAUUUCCUUUACGUAUAGAAGACUCUUCUGCAUAUUCACUGAAUACAUUUACCUGCAGUCUGAUUAACAAACACAUACUUCUGCUAAUAAUCACUCUGGGCUCCGAGAUAUAACAUACUGUGUAUUCUGACACCAAACUCCUACUCACAAAGAUAAAGGGAGGUGAGUGUGGAAGCUAAUAAUGCAACUUUGGUCUGAAAUAAGUCAAUAAAUUAUAAAUAAGCUUGAGAAAGAUAUGCUACCAUAACUUCUGCUGCACACUUUCUAAAAGGUAAUGACAUGAGUUGUAUAUCACAGGUAUUAUGAUCAUGCUAUGGGAAUUCCUUCCUAAUGUAGUAGAUCUUUUUGCGUGUUUUCGUUUUAUUUUUGACUGAUCUUAAUUUAGUUCUAAAACUUAGCUGAUAAAUACUUUCCCCAAACUUAAUCAUUAUUACAAAAUACACCUUUUAUUAGAGUAAAUUUGAAAAAUAUGAACAAAGAAAAUAGGCAAAAUGUUACUCAUGAUACCAGCAUACUUAUACAACAAUAUUUUGCUGUAUUUUAUAUUUUUCUAUUUUUUCAUAGGUAUAAUUAUUCUAGAAAUAAAAAUAUUCCUGCUUGCCAAUAAUAUAUGUCUAAAGAAUAUUCAAAUUUAAAAGCUUUCUAUUGAUUGGGAAAUUAAUGGGUUUUAAUUCUCACAGAAUUACUCAGUAGCAUAUUAGGCAUUUAGGAAAUGCCAUGGACUCUUCUAGCCACAAAGGUAUCAUAAAGUCAGCUGAGAAUUUUAAUCUCAUUUGUGCAGCAGACAUGUCCUCGAUUCACCUUCAUGUGGAUUUCACUAGGAAACCAGCACAGAAGUUUAUAAGGAUUAGAAGAAUUAUCUUCACAUGCCAAAGGCUGGUAUGUUUGCAUUCCUUUUCAAGCAAAUAGUACUCUAAAAAUAGUGCAUUUAACAAUAGAUAAUUACAUAGAUUUAUUAGAACGCACUUUGUGGUUCACUGAUGUUGCAGCCUAUGACUAUUGCAGACAUCCUGGGUGAGUCAUUAAGAUGCUUAGAUCUCAAGCCAUUCAGAAUGACGCUUAUUAAAAAGUCUAGAAACAACAGGUGCUGGAGAGGUUGCAGAGAAAUAGGAAGACUUUUACACUGUUGGUGGGAAUGUAAAUUAGUUCGACCAUUGUGGAAGACACUGUGGUGAUUCCUCAAAGUUCUAAAACCAGAAAUACCAUUUGACCUAGCAAUUCCAUGAUUACGUAUAUACCCAAAGACAUAUAAAUCAUACUAUUAUAAAGAGACAUGCAUGCAUAUAUUCAUUGCAGCACUAUUCACAAUAGCAAACACAUGGAAUCAACCCAAAUGUCCAUCAGCAAUACACUGGAUAAAGAAACUGGUACAUAUAUACUAUGGAAUACUAUGCAGCCAUAAAAAAGAAUGACAUCUUGUCUUUUUCAGAAACAUGGAUAGAGCUGGAAGCCAUUAUUCUUAGCAAGCUAAUGCAGUAACAGAAAACCAAACACCACAUAUUCUCACUUAUAAGUGGGAGUUGAGCAACAAGAACACAUGGACGUAGGGAGGGGAAUAACACACAUGGGGACCUGCCAGGGGGAUGGUUCGGGGAAAGGGAGAGCAUUAGGAAAAAAAAUCCUAGUGCAUGCUGGGCUUAAUACCUAGGUGAUGGGUUGAUAGGUGCAGCAAACCACCAUGCCACACAUUUACCUGUGUAACAAAUCUGCACAUUCUGCACAUGUACCCUUGAACUUAAAAUUUUUUCAAAGAUGCUCAGAUGCCAUUGGAUAAUAGCCUCUUGCAUGCUGGCCCUGUCCACUGCCCUUUAUUGGCAUUGCUGGCUGCUGGGGCUUUCAGACCAGAUGCCCUCUGGGCUUGUGAAAGGGCUUCCUUCCCUGGGGGCAUCCUUCCUGAGGGCAGUCAUCAUCCAAUGACACUGAUGGUGACGUUAAAGAGACCAGAGCCUCUGGCCUAAAGUCAAGACAACACUAACAAGAAUUAUAGCUCCAGGCAGGCUGAGGCCUUUACAAAUGUUUCAAAGUUCACCUUCUCCCUCAGCCCAAAUGCAUUUCCCUCACUCUUUAACAGAUAUUGCUCCCAGAGCAUAUCUUAAUAACUUUUCUGCACAUCACCUCCAUCUCCACAUCUGUUUCCUGGGGAAGCUUAUUUAAGACAUUCUUACAAAGUCAUGUAAUGCACUUCACUCUGUGCAACAGGCAAACCCUCCACCUUCCGCCACUGAAAUCCCCCUCAUCCCUCAUCACUGAAUGAUGUGGUUAAGCUUUGUGUCCUCACCCAAAUCUCUUUGUGAAUUGUAAUCCCCAGGUUUUGAGGGAGAGACCUGCUGGGAGGUGGUUGGAUUAUGGGGGAAGGUUCUCCCAUGCUGUUCUCAUGACAUUGAGGGACUUGUCACCAGAUAUGAUGGUUUCAUUAAUGGCAGUUUUCCCUGGGCUUUUCACUCUCUUUAUCUUGCCUAUUGCCAUGUAAGAUGUGUCCACUAUUCCUUCUGCCAUGAUUGUAAGUUUCCUGAGGCCUCUCCAGCCAAGUAGAACUGAGUCAAUUAAACAUCUUUUGUUUAUAAAUUGCCCAGUCUUGGUAUAGCAGUGUGAAAAUGGACUAAUACACUGACGUUUCUGCCUCUCACUACUUCCUUCUAGAAGGCCCUACUGACCAGCACAGUCCAAAGGGAUCUCUUUCUUUUCUGAGCUUCUUCCUUGCUCACGCUUCCUUUAUGUCACCUUUAUGCCAUUUUGUGUUCUACAAUCUAUGGCCUUGCUCAUUCUACCAGGAUUGGGUGCAACUUGAAAAUGCAUAAUACAUAGAGGAAAAUUCUCAAUAACACAAAGAAUCAGAACCAGCGAAUUAAGCAUAGCAUUCAAAAGGCAACGUUGGGAAACAGCUGAAAUAUAAAUCCUUCAUUAUAGUCAGUGGGCUUCCUCCUUACCGAGAUAAAGACAGGAACAGCAUCAGAGCCAGGUAACUCUUGUUAUCAGAAGGAAAUGCAAACACCUCCAUGCAGAAAAACACCACCAUUUGCCUUGGUCAAUGUUGCCGAUUAUUUCCUUUGUUUGGUUUCAGUGGAAAUUUCUCACCUGAGAAAAGUAAUGCGGAGAGAAGGAAAGAAGAUAUCCUAAAGGGAGUUUGUGCAGUAAAUCCUGUCUCAAGGAUAAUGUGGUGCUUUCUUUUCUGUUCCUUUUUUUUUUUUUGAGACAAAGUCUCUCUCUGUUGCCCAGGAUAGGAGUGCAAGUGGCACAAUCUCGGCUCCCUUCAACCACUGCCUCCCAGGUUCAAGCGAUUCUUCUGCCCCAGCUUCCCCAGUAGCUGGGAUUACAGGUGUGCACCACCGUGCCUCGCUAAUUUUCCUAUUUUUAGUAGAAACAGGGUUUCACCAUGUUGGCCAGGCUUGUCUUAAACUCCUGACCUCAAGUGAUCUGCUUGCCUCACCCUCCCAAAGUGAUAGGAUUACCAACAUAAGCCACCAUGCCCAGCAUAAUGUCGCUUUUUAUACAAAAUUAUGAUAUGUUCUUCAUAAAAGCUGAAGAGAGCACAUAAUCCAACUUGGUAGAAACAUGUCUCCUGUAGGCUAUUGCUCAAACUUAGCCUAUCCAGAAUAGUCCGUGUCACCUACAUGGUAGGGAUGCAAAUCCCAGUUCUACCUCUUGCAGUGUGCCUAGCUGCGGUACUCAUUAUCUGUUUGAUCUUGAAUAAGUCAGUUAACCUUCCUGCUCUCCAGGGUCACAACUCAUAAUUGGUGACUAUUGUAUAGAUGAACGAGUUUUUGUGUAUAUUGAAUCAUCUUAAAGACUGAGUUAGUGCCUAGCUAGCACAGAGGAGAAAUUCAAGACAUGAUAGCCAGGUUAUGAUUAGUCACAUAUAUCUUUUAUUUCCAUUGUCAUUUUGCAAACUUUUGAAAUGCACACAAUUGCAAAUUGUUUUCUCUAAGGAGAACCUGAAGUAAAACACCUAAAGUAAUAUUGAUAAAGUAAAUCCAGUCAUGUUUAUAGAAGUGAAAUCUGGUUAUUCGCAUCUUUUCUCAGUACUAAUGUGACUUACGUUUGUGUUUGUUCUUUGUCCUACUUAUCCUGUUUCUUCCCGUUUCUGUUUCAGUUUCUUAUACACAAUACAUUCCUGCAUAUUGUAUAUGAAUAGUCUACUAAUAAAAUCUAAAUAUAUUCUAUAUCUGCAGUCUUACCUCACCAGCUUACGUGUUUGAACAGGUUUCUUUUUAAAAACAUUCAGCUUUCAAAGCUGUUUCUGGUAAAAGGAUGAUUUGGACUGCCAAGUUUGCUUUCAGGUUAAAAAGUGAAGUCCACCCUUUUUCAAUCACUGUGUUAUACCUGGUCGAAGCUCUUCUAUUAUCCAGCAGACAUAGAAAACAUAGACCUAAAAUGCCCAAGUUGACUCCCAGGAAGCUGCUACAUUUAUUUUACCUGUUUCCUGUAACUCUAAAAGAAAUAUGGAACCAUAGGGUGAAAACUGGAAAUUGACUCUCUAGCUUCUAUUUUUUCUGAUCCUCCAGGGCUAAGUUAAUCCUGGAGUGAGACAAUUAGUGAGCCAAAGUGAAGAUACGUCUGCAAAAACAAGUCUAGAAUGCAUGCUAUAUUUCAAAAGCAUUAUACAUACCUCGUUCGAGUAGACCAGAAUAAUACUAAGCAUGGGGUUAAAACAAAUAUUAUUUACAUUUAUAUAUAAUUUAUUUCCUCCCCAAAUUAACUUUUAGCGUUUAGGAAACUGGACUGUCACGAUGAACUCACCACUGUUCUUCAACUUGGUCGGGUCAGAAAAAAAACCAAGUGUUACUUUUAAAAAUAUGGCCAAUAUGCCUGAAUUGAUGAGGUAUGGUGUUUCUGGAAAUCUUCAAUAUUUAAAACUUUCUCAAUUUUGCAUGAUGACAAUAUGAUUUUAUACUAGCUCUUUUCUGUAUAACCCAUUUCAUCAUCAUGAUGCUCAAUAUUAUGCUAGAUGUUAAAUAGAUCAACAGUUUUCCAGAAACCUGUGUACAAUUAUUGAAUUCAUAAAGUUUAAUUGAUACAGAAUAUGCAUACUAUAUACUCCUGUGAAAAACAAUUUUUUUGGAACAUACAUAGAAUAAAGGUCUUUGUUUUAAAAACAUUGGAGAUUUAGCAUUUGUAUUUGUGAACUAAACAAUUAGCAAAUGACUUAAUACUCACACAUACUAAAUAAUUCACCUUAUAGUUUGAUUAUGUUAAUAAUACAAUGAAACCAGUGCUUUAGGUAAUGUGUAGAGUUCACUGGAAAGGAAAAAAACUGAAGGCCGAGCAGUCCAUUGUGAGUUUCUCAUGUUGGACCAGGUUGGUGUGGUUUAAUCUAGGAGUGAUUUAAAGUAACAAUGAGAUAGUGUCGUUAAGAAUAGAAAAAAUAGCUUUCAUAAAGACAUUUUGGAGGGAGAUUCAAAAAGCAAUGAAUAUGUAACUCUACAUACAGAAAACGGAAACAAGAUUCAAAAUUGUUUGAAACUUUAACUGCGAAUUAUUGAAAACUAAUAAUGCCAUUGACAGAUGUGUUUGGCUGAUUCUGGGGCCUGGAGACGAUGAAAAGUAACUUUCCAUCUGAUAAAAUCAACGUGACAGUUGAACAUCAAAAAUUACAUCAAAUAGAAAAUCAGGACAGGUGGAUAAGACAGAGUUGAAAGCAGGAAACAUCAAUUUUAAUAUUAAGCCAAAAAUAAAUGUCAAUCACAUAAACAGUAAAUUUAUUUAAAUAAAAAAAUAAAGAUACUAAAUAAGUAGUUGAACUCAUCAGAACCCAGUUUUUCAGGAGAAAGCAGCACUUUGAAGGUUGUAGCUAAUUGCAAAGCAGAAGAUAAUAUCCCAAAAGGGAAAGUGAACAUAAGAUUGUCAAGUGCUAUAAAGAAGAAAAUAUUUCCAAGUUGAAGGCAAAGUCAUAAAUAUUGUCCUACAUGUGUAUAAACAACAAAGACCCAGGAAAUACUGCGUGGACAGGAGAUUUUUACAAGAGAACUUUAAAAUUUGGCUUACGACUUUGCUUUUGUUUAUUUAUUUAUUUAUUUGAGACAGAGUCUCCGUCUGUCACCAGGCUGGAGUGCAGCGGCACCAUAUCGGCUCACUGCAACCUCCGCUUCCCGGGUUCAAGCAAUUCUUCUGCCUCAGCCUCCCAAGUAGCUGAGAUCACAGGCACAUGCCACCAUGCCUGGCUGAUUUUUUGUGUUUUUAGUAGAGACAGGGUUUCACUAUUUUGGCCAUGCUGGUCUCGAACUCCCGACCUUGUGAUCCACCCACCUUGGAUUCGCAAAGUGCUGGGAUUACAGGCGUGAACCACCACACUCAUCCGACUUUGUUUUUUUUAGUCUUGCUCGGUCACCCAGGCUGGAGUGCAGUGGUGCGAUCUCGGCUCACUGCAACCUCUGCUUCCUGGGUUCAAACGAAUCUCCCGCCUCAGCCUCCUGAGCAGCUGGGACUACAGGCGCCCACCACCAUGCUUGGCUAAAUUAUUGUAUUUUUAGUAGACAGGGUUUCACCAUGUUAGCCAGGAUGGUCUCGAUCUCCUGACCUCGUGAUCCACCCGCCUCUGCCUCCCAUAGUGCUAGGAUUACAGACAUGAGCCGCUGCGCCUGGCCCGACUUGGCUUUAAAAACAAACAAAAAAAAAAUGUGCACUACAUAGACGCUAAUUUUGGGAGUGCAUUUAUGCUAAACUUGGAAGUGCAAAAAUUGCAUGCAUGACACAGAUGCUAAUUUGGGGAGUAUACAAAUUAGUUACUACUUAUUUGUAUGUGACCCAGUUGGGAUAUGACACUACAGAUCAAUAAAUACCUGAUGUGGGUGGGAUAGCGCUCUAGCCAGAACACAAGGUUUCAAGUUGAAUGUUGGUCAAAUUCUACUUUCUCCACCGGGUAACAGUGUAAUUUCUGGCAAUUGUCUUCUUAGUAAACCUUAUUUUCUUCUCUGAGACAUGGAAAUGGCAGAUCCCGACUGUUAAGAGUUGUAGAGAUGAAUGGUGGACUGCACAGGUUUCAGCCCAUGCUUUGCUCAAUCAGAAGUGUCUAUUUUAUUGAUACCAUCAAGAAUAAAUGUUUAAUUUAACAUAUGAUUCAUAUUUCACAUUUCUAAAUAUGGUGAGCAACGCAUACAUUUUUCCUUUUAUGUUACGUCAAUGUUAACAACCUUCAAAGCGAAUCUUUAGCUGGGCAGACUAUUUUUACUCUUCCUGUAUUUGAAGCUGUUCAUUUGCUUUUUUAAAUUGGCAGCACAUAAAGCAUCUCGCAUGUGCUGGUAACAGAUGAACAGGAAAACAACUCCCUGCCACCUUCUAGCUUAGAAGAAGUAAAGGAAUCUAGUUCAGUUAUCACAGUGCGAAAUAAUAACAGGAUGAAGAAAGUGCGAUGGAGUAAAGGAGGAGGCAGUGGUGGGGAGGAAAGCGAAUGUUCCCAUCAGAAUGUAAACUGUUUAUACUUGAGCUCUGCCUUGAAGGUGGUAUUAGCUGUUAAAGGAGCGGAAGGUCAGAAGAGACACCAGGGAACCUGAGAAGAAGGCAGCAUCAAAAGGUCAUGUCCUGCUGCGGAACAGUGAGACGCCUGAUACUGUGAGGGUGUCAGGUUCAUGGGUGCCAAUGAGAAGUGAUGGAAGGCAGGUGCAAUCAUGAACCCAAGACUUAGUAUACCGGGCAACGAGUGGGCUUGGACGAAAUGAAAAAGAAGGAUGGAGGAGAAAAUUCAUAAGACACAAAGGAGUGUGUGCACAUAUGUGUGUGUGUGUGUGUGUGUGUCUGUGUGUGUGUGUGGUUUAUGGUGGAAAGUAGGGAAGAGACAAAAACAGACCUUACAAUAUCGAGAAAAUGAAAGCAGACAGUGCUAGCCCCUUUUAUCCUGGUCAUUUAAAUGUAUUCCAAAAUUCCUCAUCAUCCUCUACAAUAUAAGGCAAAUUUUCUUUUGUGACUCAGCCCAGAACAGCAGAAAAAAACAAAUGAGCUCAUCAUGGGGACCUGGGCCUUACUCUUGUCUCCAUUGCCUCCUAUAUGUAUGGUCUCAGACAAGUGACUUCACCUUUCUAAGCCUCGCUUUUCUUAUCCAUAAAAUGUUUCCAAAAA